rnacentral:rRNA from 1 species
GGCCCCCUACGGGGCGCAGCAGUAGGGAAUAUUGCUCAAUGGGGGAAACCCUGAAGCAGCAACGCCGCGUGGAGGAUGAAGGUUUUCGGAUUGUAAACUCCUUUUGUUAGAGAAGAUAAUGACGGUAUCUAACGAAUAAGCACCGGCUAACUCCGUGCCAGCAGCCGCGGUAAUACGGAGGGUGCAAGCGUUACUCGGAAUCACUGGGCGUAAGGAGCGCGUAGGCGGGAUAGCAAGUCAGAUGUGAAAUCCUAUGGCUUAACCAUAGAACUGCAUUUGCACCUGUUAUUCUAGAGUAUGGGAGG